UACGUAGGGUGCAGGCGUUAAUCGGAAUUACUGGGCGUAAAGCGUGCGCAGGCGGUUUGCUAAGACAGGCGUGAAAUCCCCGGGCUUAACCUGGGAACUGCGCUUGUAACUGGCAAGCUAGAGUGUGGCAGAGGGGGGUGGAAUUCCACGUGUAGCAGUGAAAUGCGUAGAGAUGUGGAGGAACACCGAUGGCGAAGGCAGCCCCCUGGGCUAACACUGACGCUCAUGCACGAAAGCGUGGGGAGCAAACAGG
rnacentral:rRNA from 1 species